AUGAAGCUGGAAUCGCUAGUAAUCGCGGAUCAGAAUGCCGCGGUGAAUACGUUCCCGGGUCUUGUACACACCGCCCGUCACACCAUGGGAGUCGGAAAUGCCCGAAGUCUGUGACCCAACCUGAGAGGGAGGGAGCAGCCGAAGGCAGGUCUGAUGACUGGGGUGAAGUCGUAACAAGGUAAC
rnacentral:rRNA from 1 species